UACAGAGGUCCCGAGCGUUGUUCGGAUUCACUGGGCGUAAAGGGUGCGUAGGUGGUGAGGUAAGUCGGAUGUGAAAGCUCCAAGCUCAACUUGGAAAUGGCAUUGGAAACUACCUUGCUAGAGGGUUUGAGGGGGGACUGGAAUACUUGGUGUAGCAGUGAAAUGCGUAGAUAUCGUUUGGAACGCCAAUGGUGAAAACAGACAGCUGGGAGUGUGCUGACGCUGAGACACGAAAGCCAGGGGAGCGAACGGG
rnacentral:rRNA from 1 species